rnacentral:lncRNA from 1 species
UCAGAUUAUCAGAGUUACAAUGUUCCUAACCUGUGCAUUGCACUAGGUAAACCAUCACCCUAUUUUCUCCAUCCAAUUCAACCUGGAUCCGUGAACACAACUGCUUAUAAAAGUGGUGACUGAAUAAAUUUUACAGUCUAGAACAUGCUAUUAACUUUUAUCACAAACUAAGACUACGCAACUAUUCUCUCUAGAUCCAGUAUGCACAUGUAAAUAAACAACUGAUUUCACAUGCUUUGAACAAGCAUUCCCUCUGGCAACUUAUACAUUAUAUUUCAUAUUUCCCAUACUACAUGAACAGUCUAAUUUUUACAACAGUAUGCGGAUCAAUCUAGCCUUCUGCUAUACUGAAAUGCGAUAUUCACAUUUAAAAAAAAGUAAUAUUCCCUCUAUUCGUGAUUUGCAUUCGGACCAGGACACGUGUAGAAGAGACUGCAUUAUCCCUGUUCAUUAGCGCACUUGUUACUCUUGAAUGGUGUGUGUUGCUCUACCUCCCAGAGUCAUAAGUGGCACUGGAGGUAGUCAAAGGACGUGGUAUAGAAAAUAAGCAUACCCAGCAUUACAUAAUAUUACUACUACUGUUCCUAUUCAUAUGUCUCAAACUUGGCAUCCUGAACAAGUUACUUCCGUUUAUAAUAGUGCUGAAUUGCAUAUCAAAUUAUAUGAUUGGAGUAUUUACUAGCCAUUUAUCUGUGUGGUCAAAUUAAGUGAAGCAAAUAAUUAUUGUGCAGUGCUAUAUACUACUCCCUCCGUCCCAUAAUAUAAGAUGUUUUUUCAAGCUAAAGUUAGAUUGCAAAAACGUCUUAUAUUAUGGAAUGGAGUAGUAUAUAACAUACUAUGUGUUAUUUCCUAAUAAGCCGAUGUUAUUAAUUUAGUUCUAGAAACCCUCUUUUGAUAAACAGCUUCUACCAUUUUUGUGUGUAGGCUGCCACAAGAAGUUGUUUCUUUGCUGGCUUUGCUGUCCAGAGAAACUUUGCUGAGGUGAAGUCCAUAUCUUUUUUUUUCUGAACAAUUUUCACCGAACACUUGUUUUGACUUGUCUAUGUAAAUGUUUCUUUUAAUGUACCAGUCCUCAGACCAUUAGAUUAUCGUAUGUAAGCUGAUGCCUCACAGUGCCAUAGCAAUUGGCCCGCAAAAGAGUUACAUAGCACAGGAUGCCUGUUAUCUCUUGGUUCAUUUCACAUUUGAUAUAUUUUGUUGCUUAGAAAAGCAUCUUUUAGGAUUUGAGUUAGGUUCAGGAUCUCAUCUCAACUUGGUUUCUUACUUUGUCCAUAUUGGAUUGUGAGACAAAGAGUUUGAAUCAUACGGGAUAAGUGAAGCCACGCCUAGGGAAACCUACACACUUUAACUUAUGAAAUGAAAAUAUAAUCAGUUUUCUCUCCCCAGAAGUCUUCUCCUUCAUCUAUAGCCUAUUUCCCUAAAUCUAGUAUCUCAAACUCCUUUAAAGGGUGCAAGCACUGAUAUAUGUUACUUAGCAUUUACUAAUUACUGUCUCAACUAACACUCACGAUGAUACCUAUCUAAUUGUUCACUUUGUGCAUGUGAUGUUAUAGAAUAUGAUGCUAUUCCAAAUCCUAUAAGCAAUAUGUAUCUGAACCUAUCUCAGAUCUAGCUUACCAUUUUAUUGUUUUGUCUGAGAGAGAGAGGGAGGGAGGGAGGGAGUCAAGAGGGGUGAUAAGUAUCAAUUAUUCCAUCUUGUCACACGCUAAGCUGCAUUCUCUGCUUCCCGCUCCUUCAGUCAAGUAAUCUGCAAUCUGUUGCCCUGAGCUCACAUACUCUAUGCUGAUAAUCCCAGCAUCCAGUUUUUCCUUGAUAAAGAAUCUGUCAAUUUCUGCAUGUUUGGUUCUAUCAUGUUGAACUGGGUUGUUUGCUAUGUUAAUUGCCGACUUCUUGUCGCACCAUACAUUCAUACAACUGGUCCUCAAAAUCUUUAGCUCUUCAAAUAGAUUCCUUAUCCAUAACAAGGCAUGGCUCUGUAUUCAGCCUCUGUAGUUGAUUUGGAGAUAAUAAGUUGUUUCUUGCUCCUCCAAGAUGCUAGAUUUCCUCCCACAAAAACACAAUGGCUUGAAGUUGAUCUCUUGCCAUCCAGGCAGCUAGCCCAAUCAGCAUCACAAUAACCAUCCAUGACAAGGUGUCCAUGACUCUUGUAUAUCAGUCCUUUCCUACGAAAACCCUUCAAGUAUCUCAAGAUUCUAUGUACUGCCUCAAGAUGUUCACUUCUACGCUCAUGCAUAUAUCUACUUACAACACUUAUUGCCAAUGCAAUGUCUGGUUGUGUAUGACACAAGUACAACAAUCUUCCCACCAAUCGUUGAUAUUUUUCUUUAUCCAGCAGAUCACCUGAUUGGGCAGUCACGUUAUGGUUUUGAUUAAUUGGGGUUGACGCAGCUCGACAACCCAACAUGCCAACAUCACAGAGGAGUUCUAGGGUAUACUUUCUUUGAGAAAGAGCUAUUCCUUUUCCAGACCUGGACACUUCUAUACCAAGUAAGUACUUGAGCCGACCAUCUUUAACUUCCUUGCUCAGACACCCCUUUAACCUUGCUAUCUCUACGUAAUCAUCACCGGUGAUAAUGAUAUCAUCAACAUAAACUGUAAGGAUGGUUAUUUUCCCUUUAGAGUGUCUAUAAAACAGUGUAUGGUCACCAUUGCACUGCCCAUACUAUCACACACCGCCCGUCUAAACUUGUCAAACCAAGCUCUUGGAGGCUGCUUCAGUCCAUAAAGGGCUUUCUUCGGCCUGCAUACCUUGCCAACAGUCUCAGAAGUCGAGAACCUAGCUGGAAUCUCCAUGUAAGAACGCAUUAUUCACAUCAAGUUUGUGUAAAGGUCACCAGAAAUUUGCUGCACAAGAGAUCAGAACCCCCACAAUGUUCAUCUUUGCUACUGGAGCGGUCUCAUCGUAGUCAAUGCCGUAUGCCUGCCUGUACCCCCUCGCCACAAGCCUUGCUUUGUACCUUUCAACCUUUCCUUUUGCAUUCCGCUUCACAGUGUAUACCCACUUGCAGCUGACUGCCUUCUUUCCUGUUGGAAGGGGUGUUAGUACCCAUGUCUUGUUCUUACACACAGCCUCCAGCUCUUCCAUCAUGGCCACCCCUGACUUUGAGUCCUCCUUUACUUUCUUCCAGUCGGUCGGAAUUGACACAGUUUGGAAAGAAGCAACAAAUGCCUUGUGGGCUGGAGAUAAUGCUUCAUAGGAAACAUAAUUUCCAAUAUCAUUGUCAUCGAACCCAUACCGUUUCUAUGGUAUCCUUGCUGUUGCUCGAGUAGUUCUCCUCAAAGCAAUUUUCCCUUUAGUUGACUUUUCAGCCUGAUCUCCGUCAGAGGAACAUCAGUACUACCCUGUUGUUCCGUUAGUGGCUGAUCUAGUUGCUCCCCUUGAUGUGCAACACCAUCACCUCGCUUCCGUGAAUACACCUUUAGCUGCUCCUGUUGCUUUGGUGUCCACCUUGGCACACUACCAAUCUGAGCUGGUGCACGCUUUCGUGAAUACACCUUUAGCUGUUCCUCUUGCUUCACUGUCCACCUUGGCACACUACCAUUCUUGCCGUUGUGCCAACCUGCACAUCGCUGAUGGAAGUCGAUGCUUGUAUCGCAGGAGCCACAUGAGUUACUAAAGGUGACUGUUGCAACUGCAUCUGUGUUCUACACUCCUCCUCUUCACCAAUCUCCGGAGGGAGACAUUGGUCAAGUUUUUCAAACAUGACGCUGAGAUCAUUUUUCUCAUCAUAAAAGGAUUCAAUUCAUGAAACGUAACAUCCUUGCUCACAAAGGUUCACCUCUCAGACGGACUCCAACAUUUGCACCCUCUUUGUUUUGAAGAAUACCCAAUAAAGAUACACUUGAUUGCCAAUUUGUUGACUGAUGGCCUAUGAUCAUGAACAAAGCAAGUGCAACCAGACACACCUUGGGAGGAAUAGGGAAUUUAUUUUCGGUGAAAAUCAACUCACACGGUGAUUUCAUACCUAUCACGCGGGAUGGUGUGCGGUUGAUCAAGAAGGUGGCCAUCAUGACAACUUCGCUCCACAGGAACUUGAGCACAUUCAUGGUGAACAUCAAUGCUCGGGCCACCUCCAACAGGUGGCAAUUUUCCUCUCUGCCACCUCAUUCUGAAGUGUGUCCGGACAAGAUGUUUGAUGCAGGAUGCCCUUUCUGGCAUCAAGGCACCAAUGGCCUUGUUAACAUACCCAGUGCCAUUGUCAGAUCUGAGUGCUUGAAUUUUCACAUUAAAUUGAGUUGGAACAAGUGCAUAAAAAACUUUGAAACACUGAAACACUUCAUCUUUAUGUUUCAGAAGAUAGACCCAAGUCAUCCGAGAAUGGCAACCAACGAACGUAACGAUACUUCAUACCACUUUGGUGUGUCCAUCAUGUAUACGCCAUAUGAUGAGGUUUGGGGCGGCGCUUGCGCCGCCGCUUUGACUGCUUCUCGAGGGAACAAGCCUUCGGUGCAUCCUUCCGUUCCUCGUCGUCGUCUUCUUUUGGUGUGUCCAUCAUGUAUACACCAUAUGAUGAGGUGGACGUCCAGCGCCCUGUGGGCGGUGGUUCCUCUUCGCCUCCCGCAUCGUCGUCCAUACCGUUGAUGUCUUCGGAGUUGAAGUCGAGCAUGUCGGUUGAGUCAUCAACAGUGGCUAUUAAGUGGGUGGUGGGUGGGCGUCGAAUUUCUUCGUCGUCCGUAUCCCAAUCCUGUUGGCCAUAAUCCAGCCAGGGCUCUUCUGACAAAGAGAGAGACUUUAGUGAAUUCAGAAUGUCGCCGAAGGGCGAGUGCUGAAAGAUAUCCGCGGCGGUGAAUUCCAUGAUCGGCGCCCAAUCGGAUUCGAUUGGCAGGGGCGCGGAUGGUUCGGAGUCCGGAAAAGAGUCCGGCACCUUGGAGUCACGGGCUGCGUAGAGGGUUAGGCAGGUGUUCGGCUUGAUCGCCGUUGAGACUGCGGCCCUUGAGGCGGUGUCUAACCACCCGUCCUCGAUUGGCGCAGUUGGCUCCGAACUAAGGGUCGGAGCUGAUGCGGGCGCGGCCUCUGGGGUACUGUUCGGCGGCAGGGCUAGGUCAUACCCAUCGCGACAGUGCGGCGCGCCCGGCUGUGGCUUGAAUCCGUCGAAGAUCAAGUCUCCGCGGAUGUCGGCCGUAUAGUUCAAACUUCCAAAUCUGACUUGAUGGCCAGGGGCGUAGCUUUCAAUCUACUCCAGAUGGCUAAGCGAAUUAGCCCGCAGUGCAAAGCCGCCGAAUACGAAGAUCUGUCCAGGGAGAAAAGUCUCAUCCUGGACUGCAUCGCCAUCGAUGAUAGUAGGAGCCAUCAAGCCUAACGGCGACGACACAGAAGAACUCUCAAUGAAAGCACCAAUGUCGGUGGCAAAACCGGCGGAUCUCGGGUAGGGGGUUCCGAACUGUGCGUCUAGGCCGGAUGGUAACAGGAGGCAGGGGACACGAAGUUUUACCCAGGUUCGGGCCCUCUUGAUGGAGGUAAAACCCUACGUCCUGCUUGAUUAAUAUUGAUGAUAUGGGUAGUACAAGAGUAGAUCUACCACGAGAUCAGAGAGGCUAAACCCUAGAAGCUAGCCUAUGGUAUGAUUGUAUGUUAUGAUUGUUGUCCUACGGAUUAAAACCCUUCGGUUUAUAUAGACACCGGAGAGGGUUAGGGUUACACAAGGUCGGUUACAAAGAAGGAGAUAUCCAUAUACGUAUUGCCUAGCUUGCCUUUCACGCCAAGUAGAGUCCCAUCCGGACACGAGACGAAGUUUUCAAUCUUGUAUCUUCAUAGUCUAACAGUCCGGCCAAAGAAGAUAGUCCGGCUGUCCGGAGACCCCCUAAUCCAGGGCUCCCUCACAGAGAUUAUCUUAUCAGUGGACCUCCAUUUCCUUCUGACCAGUAAAUCCUUGGUGUUUAGUCUGUCAAAGAGCAGCAACCAAGCAAAACAUUUAAUUUUCAUUGUGCAUUUGCUCUUCCAAAGCCAUCUACAGGGCUGGAUAACAGGAGUGUGUGCAUUAGAGUAUAGUAACUUUUAGCAGAAUAAUCUCCUUUAUCCAGCCAGCACCAAACAUCACUUUCGAUGGGGUUCCUCUGUAAGUUAGCUAUAUCCGGUCCUGUAAGCAUAACAACUCUGUUGCAGCCACUUGAGAUAUUGGCAGAUUGAACAAUGAAGCAACAUCAGGGGUGGAUAAGAAAUCAGAGACAGAAAUCUUGUCACAGGUGUGGUAAUCUAUCUCGGAGAGGCCUCGUUGAUCCAUCAAGAUGCCAGCCAUCAGACCAAAGCAGUACUGAAUCCCUAGAAUUGACUAUAACAGUAGCCACCGCUGUGUAAUUAUCAGCCAGUUUAAAAACAUGCUUCCACCAAAAGGCGCCACAUAAGACAGUGGCCUGUGGAACUACUCCAUGAUAGUAUGAAUCCCAAAUAAGAGAUACCCAUGGUAUGUCAGCCUUGUUAUAAAACUUGUGCAAAUGCUUUACCAGAAGGGCUUGGUUCUGUAUUUGCAGAUUAAUCACUCCCAGUCCUUCAUUCGCUUUUGGCCUACAUACCAAAUCCCAAGCUGCUAGGGAUUGUCUUGGUGUAUCAGAAUUACCAUGCCAAAGGCAUUGCCUCUCAAUACUUUCAAGCUGCUUGAUAAUACCAAUAGGGAUAUCUAAUGAGCACAGGAAAUAAAUUGGCAUAGAAGAUAAAACAGAGGUUAAAAGUUGCAGCCUAGAACCCUGAUUCAGCAUGGAGGAACUAGCAGUCAGCCUUCUUUCAACCCUGUCCACAAGAGGCAUGAGAUCCUGUAUCCUUGGUUUUGUUGUUCCCAUUGGCAACCCCAAGUAAGUGAAAGGUAAAGUACCAAUGGUACACCAAAGACAGAUGCAAGCCUGGCAGCCUCCUCAUCAGAUACAUUAAGUGGCACCAUCAUAGAUUUAUGAAAACUCACCUUAAGGCCAGUGGAGGCAUGGAAAACAUGUAACAUCUCGAUUGCAAUCAGUUGUGUGUCCACAACAGGUACUAACAUAAUGGUGUCAUCAGCAUACUGAAUUAUUGGGAAAUUUGGAUCAUUUGAGGAUAUUGGCAAGAAAAGGACACCAUCAAGCAACAUUUUGUUAACAACAGAUUGAAGCAGGUCAGCAGCAAGCACAAUGAGAAGUGGGGAGAAAGGAUCUCCCUGUCCAACUCCCCUCUUGCAAUGAAACUGUUUACCCGGUACCCCAUUCAGCAUAGAAGAUGAUCCAAAAGAUAAAAUCUCUCUCACCCAGCCAAUCCAGUGAUCGUUGAACCCUUUAUGUUUCAGAAUUUGCAAGAUGACAUCAUGCUCAAUGGUGUCAAAAGCUUUGGCAAAAUCAAGUUUUAGGAUCAAAAUUGGUCUGUGGGACUGCUUGCACUGAUGGAUAUACUCAAAUGCCUAGACUAGACAGUCAUGGAUGGCUCUAGACCGAAGGAAACCAAAUUGGUUUUUAUGAAUUUACAUGCUGUAGCCGGUUUGCUAAUAAUUUGGUGAGAAACUUCAAACAUGUGUUGAUCAAGGAUAUGGGCCUGUAGUCAUUUGGGCCUUCAGGACUAAUCAUUUUGGGAAUCAAGGUAAUAAAGGAGCCAUUAAUUCCUUGCAAACUAAGACGGCCCUGAGCAAACUGUUCAAUUAAUUGCAUGAAGUCCUUUUCAAUUAUGCUCCAACACUUCAACAAAGAGACCAUUGAAAUCUGGUCCUGGUGCUCGAUCUGUUGGCAGGUCCUUAAGCACAGCAGAGAUCUCCUCUUGGGAGAAAGGCCUAGUUAGGUCAUCUAGCCCAUCCACUUUAUGCAAAAGCUCCUCCAAAUUGAACCCAUUUGCACUCCCUGGGCUUGGCCCAUCUUGGAUUUAAAAGAAUUCCAGAGCAUUCCCGCCAUCUGCUCAUGAUCAGUAACCACAACAUCAUCAUCGAUCGAAGGCUGGCCAUGGAAUUCUUCCUCAUGCGUUAGUUGCCAUGGCAUGAAAGAAUUUUGAGUUUUCUUCUCCAACUUUGAUAUAUCUGAUUGUGCAUCGUUGCUUCCAAUAAAUGUACUGUAAUUCAACAGAUCGUCAUAGUGUAGCUUGACAAUUUUUUUGAAGUUGAAUUCAGGUAUUGUUAGAGGACGCAAUUCCUCAAGAGAAUCAAAACCGAGGAUUACCAUAGAUCAUUGAUGGAUAACUUUCUUGAUGGAUGACAAGUUAAUGCGCCACCUCUUCAGAUCAUACCUUAACCGUUUAAACUUCUUGAAGAUAAUUGCCGAAGCAGAACCAGAACCAUUUCCUAUGGGUGCAGACAAGGAAGUAGAUACGCAUUCCAUAAAGCCAAGCAUAUGAACCCAAUAAUUAGUCCCAAACAAGUUGGGGUAGGCUAGAGUUGAAACCCAUAAGAUCUCGCAACCAACUCAUGGUUCUACCACAUGGACAUCAAGCUUCCAUGCACCCUUGUCCUUGGCUAGUUCUUUGGUGAUACUCUAGUCCUUCAGAUAUCUCUUUAUGGACUCCUCCCAUGCCAAGUUCGGUCUACCCCGACCUCUCUUGACAUCAUCAACACGCUUUAGCCGUUCGCUAUGCACUGGAGCUUCUGGAGGCCGGCGCUGAAUAUGCUCAAACGUCUUAGAGAAUGUUGGACAAGCUUCUUUUCAAUCGGUGCUACCCCAACUCUAUCAUGUAUAUCAUCAUUUCGGACCAUGUCCUUCCUUGUGUGGCCACACAUCUGUCGGAUUUCGGGUUCCGGCAGACCCUUGAGGUUCGAACAUUGGGGUGCGCACGGAGAUUUCGCCUCCUACCUAUUUGCGUCCCUCCGCCUCGCUAAGAUCUGAGCUAUGGAAAGAACAACACAAGAGACACAGGGUUUAUACUGGUUCGGGCCACCGUUGUGGUGUAAUACCCUACUCCAGUGUGUGGUGUGGUGGAUUGCCUCUUGGACUGAUGAUGAUAAACAAUAUAGGGAAGAACAGCCUCGCGAGGGUCUGUUCUUGGCUGGGGGGAUGAACUGUUGGGAGUUUAGUCACCCUUCUCUCUCUCUCUCUUCUCGAUUGUUCCCUCUCUAAACCCUAACCUCUCAGCCUCUUGAUCCUUCGAUCCUUUCCCCCUUUCUCCAUCCCUCGAUCUCGCGGGUGGCUGGUCCUAUUUAUAGAGGCCCUGGUCCUCUUUCCAAAUAUCGAGUGGGAAGGGAGCCAACAAUGGCGGGCUAAUUUGAAAGGGGACAGCUAGUACCGGCUAUCCUGACAAAAGUAGUCUUCACCUGCACAAAGCUUUGGUGGUGACGCCGUCUUGGGCUCCACGAUGACCUCCGUCUCGCAGUCCUCCUGGUCUUGGUCUUGUUGCACCGAAAUGGCAACCUUUGCCUGAUGCCUCGGUACUCCGCGGUUGCGCUUGCCCCCUUUGCACCAAAGGGGAAAGGAGGACACUGCGCGGGCUGGCACCCGCCUGGCGCCCUUGAUCGUCAUGGCUUGCGUCACGGGCACCUCGUGAGGUACCCCGCCUUGAUCUCUCCGCCUUCUCGCGAGCCAGCCUGAUGAGGCCGUGCCUGAGGAAGCUCCGCGUCGUCCGCCCCGCGAGGCUUGGCCCCUCGCGAGGGUCUUGGGUUUGUGUUGGUGAAGAUGGGCUGUGCUGAGCCCCUCUUUGAGCCACGCCGCAGGCCGCAGGCAGGCAAGUAUGGGGACCCCCGUUCCCAGAACGCCGACAGUAGCCCCCGGGCCCAAGGCGCGCCUGGACUUGGCCGUGCAGGGAGGUGGAAGGGCAAGAGCGAAGCGCCGCGGGCCCUAACAGCCUGCGGCCUUGGGCGCCGCGUGGCGGUUGAUUGGACGCGGGCGCCUCCACUUCCCCAUGGCGCCUCCAUCAUCCCGCAGGGAGAACUCUUGGAGCUUUGGCUGCAGCACGCCAGCUGCAGCACCCUCGCGACCAAGGCAGAGGUCGCGGUCGUUGCCCCGGGCGAGGUCUUCAUGACUCGGGGCUGGAGCGAGAUCGUCCGGGUUUGCAGGACAAGAGGCACCCUCGCGAUCCACUUGAAGUACGACGGUGCCUCGUUGAUGUUCUUCAAGGUCUUCGAUGCAAGCGGGCGCCGGCUGGAGUGCUGCCUCGGGAGAGGUGGCCAGGACCCUGCUGCGGCGAGGACUGGGCCCGCCAACCGCUCCCUUGGCGGCUCCUCAGGCGAUGGAGGCGUCGGAGGUUCCAGCGACUCCGGCGAGCUCUUCGCGACUCCGGAGACGAGCGACACAGCUACGAGCCCCCAAGCCGGCGCCGCUCUUGGAGCAGGGCGGGCUCGUCAGGCCGCCGCCGACUCUGAUUUGGAUGGGGUUGGUGCCGGUGCUUGUCGGCCCACUGUUGAUGAUGGCGUCUCUUGUAGGGGCGCGCGUAGUUAGUGUCCCUUUAGGAUCUGUUCCCUGCGAGGAAUCAAAGACGCGUCCCGUGGGGGUUUGUAAGGUGCCUGUGAUUCUGUUUUGUUGAUAUAACCCUUGUCGUAGAAUUGUGCGAGUUGCUCAUUCCAUUUUAGCUCAGUCCUCCCUUUCGAACCUCACGAGGGCUUGGUGCUCUGCGCCGACAGGUCCCAGUCCCAAGGCGGCUUCAGCCGUCGCUGGUAUGCCAGGUCGCGAUGACGUGGUCAAGGCCAGGAGGUGAGCGACCCGAAGUCCGGUAAGAGCCCCUGAAUCGCGAUGCUCAGAAGGUCCCCUUUGGCGCUCAAGCAGCCGUCGUUCGGUGAGAAAGGAGAGCGGCGUCGCUAACACGGGAUUGCAUUAGGUGCGGGGAUGAUGCCACGGUAGCUGGCGCUUCCGGGUGGUGACUUAUCUCUAGAAUCAGGGGCCGCUCUCUGGGGUGUCGCCGGGUCCAUGCAUCGGCAGGCAUGAGGUUGCUUGGUGAGGUCCUCGCGUGUCCCUCCCCUCUCGCCUUUGCUCCCCUUUGUGCUCUACGUCUUCGGGUCCCGGCCCUCGAGCGAGUCUCAGCCAUCGCUGGUAUGCCAGGUCGCGAUGCCGUGGACAAGGCCAGAGGGUGAGGGCUGGAGAGCUAGUAGGAGCCCUGAGUCGCGAUGCUCAGGCACCCCCCCUUUAACGUGCAAGCGGUUCGCGCGGACGAGAGUGAAGGAGACACCGCAAGGGCCUCGCCUGACGCAGCUCCUUCAGGAGAUCCUGUAGGUCCAUCAUAGAAAAAAUGAGGGGGUUGCCAUGACAAUUGACAGUCAGCCGUUGGUUGCUUCCGAGGGGUAAUGAGGCAUCGAAUGCUUGACGAGGUGGCGCCAUGCGGGGCUGCCGCGGCCAGAGCUCAGUCAUUCAGGUUUGUCGGUGUUGCAGGGACGGACCCAUGCGCAAGCGUCGUGCCGUUUUGAGAGCAGUUCCGUCAGUUGAGCGGGCAAUUAGGUCAAGCACAUUAGCCGCGAAGAAGUGGAUUCAUUUAAAUAGAUGAUGGGAAGGCGGACAUCGCUGGGCCUAGCCCGAGCGACUUGGGGAUCAUGCAGCCCGAGGGGCGCCCCCAACAAGAUAAGCUAACAACAUGAAAUAAAAGGGAUACACGCCGCAGGGACGGACCCACGCGGCCUGGGAAUAAUGCAGCCCUGGGGGGGCGCUCUCAGCUGGAAAUGAAACUUGAAAGAUGUCAUCUGAUGAUGUUGUGGACGAAGGAGCGUUGGUGUAGCAGACUCGGUGGGCCGCGGAAGCCGAUCCUCACGAGCCCCCAGGCCCAGGGGCCUCGGGAGGCUCCGGAGGCGCUGGCGGCUCCUCGCGGACCAUCUCCAUCUCCGCCAGGGCUGCGGAACGCCUGGCCUCUUGUGCCUCCGUGAUGCCCCUCAUGAGGCGCUGGUACGUGGCAGCCGCGUUCGGCAAGCCGUAAGGCAUGCGAACGUAGCUGUGGGGUGGACCUCCGCAGCGCCCCGCUCGCGAGGGCCAGAGGCGCUCCAGAGAGGCGACUUGAUUGAGCCCUGAUAUGUCGAUGCAGACGCGCAGCCUACCAUCCUCGCCUGGAUGGGGAGCCACUGCUGGUAGGCGGCGGCCGCCUUUCAUGACUCUUGACUCCUGUAGCUCCUGAAUGGCCUUGCUGACAAACUCCUGAGGGUCUGGCUCUCCUUGCAUUGCUCCUUCUUGAGGGAAACGUGCUUCGAAACACGCCUCCAUGUGGUGCCCAAGCGCCUCCCUCGCGAUCCUAGCUAGGUCGGUGGCCCUCCAGUGGAGAGCCCCCGAGCCCUGCCUGAGGAGGGCGCCGUGCGCGCUUUCCUAUGCGAUGGAAGGAGGUUCCCCCUGGGCAGGCACGGGCCCAGAGGGGUCUGUCUCCUGAGGGGUCGGGCCGGACGAUGUCUUCCUCUUCUUGGGGGCGGUCUCGGGAAGCCUCCUGCUUCCGCGAUUCGGGUCUUCCAGUGACGCGGCCUGAAAGGCUCGUUCCAGGGAACACAUAGCAUCCUUCUCUUCACAGGGCACCGUGAUGACUCCGCCACUUCCUGGCAUACGGCCAUGAACUUGGCUAACGCUGGGUACCCGAAGAUGGCGUUGUACGGCAGGCGAAUGUGACAGGGAGCUUCAUUGUUGUCGCGUGCCCCGAAGGUGACAGGGAGGCGGACCUGCCCAAUCGGGACCGUGGAGCCGUCGGUGAUUCCGGAGAAAAGCUUGGUUGGCUGAAGCUGGCUGUAGGGCACUUGGAGAUUGUUGAAUGUUUUCACGGACAGGCGUUGAGCCCUGCCCCGCCAUCGAUGAGGGUCUUGGUGACCACCACGUUGCUGAUGAUUGGGGAACAAAGCAUCGGGAGGACUCCGGCUGUAGCCGCACACUUGAGCUGAUCUGCUGAGCUGAACGUGAUGGCGCACGUCGACCACCUGAGAGGGCGCGUGGCUUCGAGCCUGGGAAGGACUGCAUUCACUUCGCGGGCGAACUGCUUGAAGAUGCGUUGGGAGGCUGGGGCUUGAGCCCCGCCCAGGAUGCAGGCGAUCGCGCGCGGCUCCUGGAAGCCCCCAGCCCCCUCGUCCUGGUGGCGGUCCUUGUUUCUCCUUGGCUGCGGCGGCAGCGGAGGGAGGCCUGCGUUGCCUUGCGGGUGAAGGACUUCUUGGCAGCUCUGCUUUUGUCGUGCUGGCACCUGGCGGAGCGGGUUCCGCCCAGGGGCCACGCGCCUUGAAGCCAUGGCGCCUUCCUGAGGAGGAGGCGGCCGGGGCGCCGCCGGAGCUUCAUUGCUCGCGCGGGGCGGGUUGCGGUGCAGCGGAACGGACGGCGCAGGAGAGCCCCUUGCGGCGCGGACGAGCUCGGCGACGCGGUCGAGCCAUUCUUCGUAGACGUCGUCGACGGGACGGUAGCGCAGGAGCUCGUUUGCCGCGAUGAGCGCAGCUCGAGCCUCCAUGGGCGCGCGGAGCGCGUGGGACGAAGAACCAGCUGGAGUGAGCGAGGGAGUUGCAGUGCGGCCGCCUUGCCGCACAGACGGAUGCUGAGACGAUGCUUGCUGCUCGUCCCCCGCUGGGCCGGUAGCGGCGUUGACGGCAGGUGACGGGGAGCGGCGUGGACGCCCGCCGACAGGGGCUGUCUGGGCGACGCGGGAACCGAGAGCGGCCCGGCGCUCGACGCGGGCCCGACGAGCGUCAAACAUGGGCGUGAUGGUCGGAGGAGAACGGGGUGGUGGAAGACGAAUUCCGGCGCACCCCUACCUGGCGCGCCAAAUGUCGGAUUUCGGGUUCCGGCAGACCCUUGAGGUUCGAACACUGGGGUGCGCGCGGAGAUUUCGCCUCCUAUCUAUUUGCGUCCCUCCGCCUCGCUAAGAUCUGAGCUAUGGAAAAAACAACACAAGAGACACAGGGUUUAUAUUGGUUCAGGCCACCGUUGUGGUGUAAUACCCUACUCCAGUGUGUGGUGUGGUGGAUUGCCUUUUGGGCUGAUGAUGAUGAACAAUAUAAGGAAGAACAGCCUCGCGAGGGUCUGUUCUUGGCUGGGGGGAUGAACUGCUGGGAGGAGUUCAGUUACCCUUCUCUCUCUCUUCUCGAUUGUCCCCUCUCUAAACCCUAACCUCUCAGCCUCUUGAUCCUUCGAUCCUUCCCCCCUUUCUUCAUCCCUCGAUCUCGCGGGUGGCUGGUCCUAUUUAUAGAGGCCCUGAUCCUCUUUUCAAAUAUCGAGCGGGAAGGGAGCCAACAAUGGCGGGCUAAUUUGAUAGGGGACAGCUAGUACCGGCUAUCCUGACAAAAGUAGUCUUCGCCUGCACAAAGCUCUGGUGGUGAUGCCGUCUUGGGCUCCACGAUGACCUCCGUCUCGCAGUCCUCCUGGUCUUGAUCUUGUUGCACCGAAAUGACAACCUCUGCCUGAUGUUUCGGUACUCCGCGGCUGCGCUUGCCCUUUUUGCACCAAAGGGGAAAGGAGGACACUGCGCGGGCUGGCACCCGCCUGACGCCCUUGGUCGUCAUGGCUUGCGUCACGAGCACCUCGUGAGGUACUCCGCCUUGAUCUCUUCGCCUUCUCGCGAGCCAGCCUAAUGAGGCCGUGCCUGAGGAAGCUCCGCGUCGUCCGCCCCGCGAGGCUUGGCCCCUCGCGAGGGUCUUGGAUUUGUGUUGGUGAAGAUGGGCCGUGCUGGUUCCCCUUUGACCCACGCCGCAGGUCGCAGGCAGACAAGUAUGGGGACCCCCGUUCCCAGAACGCCGACAACAUCCAUCUCAACAUACGCAUCCCCGUACACCUAACCGUUGAACAUGUCACCUUUUAGUCAGCCAUCACUAAAUGCCAUACAACAUUGUGGGUUAAAUAGCCGUCCUAUAGAACUUGUAUUUUAGCUUUUAUGGCACUCUAUUGUCACAGAGAACGCCAGAAGUUUGGCGCCACUUCAUCCAUCCGGCUUUGAUUCAGUGGUUCACAUCUUCAUCGAUACCCCUAUCCCUCUGCAGCAUUGACCUCAAAUAUCUCAAGGUGUCCUUCUGAGGCACCACCUGCCCAUCAAGGCUAACCUCGUCCUCAUUCCUAGUAGUACUGAAACCACACCACACGUACUCGGUUUUAGUUCUACUAAGACUAAAACCUUUUGAUUCCAAGGUUUGUCUCCAUAGCUCAAACUUCCUAUGAACCCUCGUCCUCUAGGCCUUCCUAGAGCUCCCUCUUGGUGUUCUCAUUGUGGCCUACUUGUGGGGCGUACGCGCUGAUAACAUUGAUAACCAAGUCCUUAGUUACCAGCUUGACCAAGAUAAUCCGACUCUUGACGUCUACCACUCCAUACUUGAGGGCAUACGCGCUGAUAACAUUGAAAACUAAGUCCCCAACUACCAGCUUGACCAAGAUAAUCCGACUCUUGACGUCUACCACUACAUACUUGUGGCUCUUGUUGAUCAAGAUGCCUAGUCCAUUUCCGUUUACAGUCGUCCCCGUGUACCACAGCUUGAAGCCGGUAUCCUCCACCUCCUUCGCCUUCUGUCCCCUCCAUUUGGUUUCUUGGAUGCAAAGGAUAUCAACACCUCUCCUACUGUUGUAUCAACUAGCUCACGAAGCUUACCUGUCAGGGAUCAAGAACACAAAGUUGUCAACUAUUAUUCGGCAAUCAAUUUGGUCAACCAAAGCACUCAAGGACACUAAGUUCAUGAGAAAAGCUGGCACGUGCAACACCCUGCAAUGGGCUGGGCUGUGCCAUCUGCUGUGUGAAUGUUUUUCUGAUGUGUGAGAGUGUGGAACAUAAGAUUUGAACUCAUUAAAGUCUCCAGCAACAUGAUGUGAUGCGGAUCUUUCAAAAAAAAAACAUGAUAUGAUGCUCCAGAAUCAAGCACCCAUUCCGAGUUUAUUUUAUGGGCUGCUAUUGAUGCGUGUUCAAUGUUACCUUCAUUUGUAUCGACAAAGUUGGCAUAGUUGGUAGCAGUCCUCCUGCAUGCUGCUUCCCUUCAGCUGAAGCAGCUACAUUUGCCUUGGGAGCAUUCCAAGAAUCGCCACUCCCAUUUCAACCACGACUUCCAUUCCGACCACCUCGCUGCUACUGCCACCACUGUAUCCUCGUCCUCUGCCUCUUUUGGCCAGUGCAGAAACGGCUGAUAUGCCCUGUUUGACCACAAUUAUAACACUUCCCAGAUUCAUUGACAUCUCCUCUUCUCAACUGCAGGCGUACCCAUUCUUGGGAUAUCGCAGCAGUGGCCUCAUCAAGGGACACAAGUGUUGGCUGUUGUAGUAGCACAGGUUUGCUCUCAAAUCCUUGAUCUAGACCUUUGAGAAAUUGCAUCACACGCCUACGCUCAACCCAAUUCCUGGCAAUUUCUAUGGACUCUGCAUGUGGAAGCUCAAGGGGAUCGCACUGAUCCAGAUCCGCUUAAAAAUGUUGCAGCUCGUUCACAUACACUAUCAUGCUUCUGUCACCUCGACGGACAGCAUGGAUCUUGUCUUCAAUUUGAGACAUGAGCAUCAAAUUGCCCUUACCGGAAUGAAUACCUCAUGGACAGCAGGCUCCACACAGCAGAAGCAUUCGGCAAUGCCUCAACAGACACUGUAAUCGCUGGAAUCAGGGAGUUACAUUCAAGUCAAUAUCAGGGAGUCAGUAACACUCCACUUCUUUCAUUCUGAGCUCUCCUUGUCAGCCAGUUAUUCAGCUGUUCCAAGAACAUACCCUGUCAGGCCCCUUGUCUUUGUGAUCAACAAGGCCUGCCUCGACAGGUAGCUGCUCACACCGUUCAGCUUGACAUCAUUUUGCAUGAGCUCAAGCUUGAAUCCCUGAUCUGCUUGAGGCACAACAAUUCUGCUACCUGGAGGAGUUGACCCCUCGGCAGCCUUCACAGCCAUGACUUGCGCAAGUUUCUCUAUAGCAGCGGUAAGUUCAGUCCCCAUGACGCCUCCACCUCUUCUUCUCCUAGCUGUGCCACCUCCAAUGCUGUGUCUCCUUCCUCUGCAAUCAGCAGCCACUCAGCUGUGAGAACCUUUCUACGCGCGUAAGCACCAUGAAGCUAGCCACCAACUCCAGCAGCCCAGCAGCAGCAGCUCCAGUCACACUCCAUCUUCUUCUCAACUAGCACCAACUCCAGCAGCUCAGCAGCAGCAGCAAGCAGUGGCAGCCUCCUUCUCCUCAAACAGCAACACUUCUCCACUAUUUUUCAUCUACAAUCAGCGCACAUGCACGCACGCAGCAGCAACUCGAGCAAGCAGCAGAGUAGCACGCACCACACAGCAUCAGCUCUGCGCCCAGACCCGCCGCCUCCUUGCUGCAAGCUCCCGCAGCUUCUUCUUGCCUGAGCUGACCGCGCCGCCUCACUGCACUCCGCCUCCAGCCGCUCACCCUGUCUUCUCGCCGGACUACACCACCGGCGCCGCCGCCGUCUCUGCAGCCUUGGCUGAUACCAUGUUGCGAGAGAGAGGAAUACACCUCGUGCUGUUGUUUCUGGUGUGGAGCAGCGCAUCUGACCAGACAUGGUCUGGCUCCUCUUCUAGGUCCGUGCCUGGGCCUUAUGGGCCGGAUGGAACAUGGGCUCACAUCCAACAUUGUAUGAAUUUUUGAUAUUGUUUGGAUGGCAAAGAGUUGUCAACCCCACCUUGGAGUGGCAUCAGUACAACUGGGUAGUACUAUUUUCUUUCUUGGAUGCACUUCUGCCAUUUUUAUAUUAUAAAGGAACUACCUGUGUGACCUUUACCUCUUAAGAUACUAGAAUGUAGUCAAUACUUAAUGCGAUAUCUGUGACUCACUUCAUAUUUUCACCUGAGUGACUGAAAUCAAUUGAGUUAUGUUUCAGGUCAUUGCAAAGGGUGAAGCGCAGGGAAUGGUUAGCAAGUUUGUUGGCAUAAUGCUUGGCAUAGCGUUAGCUAACCAAAUUGGCUCAUCAGUACCACUGGCUCUUAUUUCAUUUGCUGGUGUUACUGUAGUUCACAUGUAUUGCAACCUUAAGUCUUAUCAAUCAAUUCAGCUGAGGACGCUGAAUCCUUACCGUGCAAGUAAGUUUGCUUUCUCCUCUGCUGCCGUCAUAGCCCUGAAUCCUCCUAUGGCACAUCUUUCUGUGACUAAAACUUAAAAUGGUUAGGUAGAUAAAUCAGUAUAUUUGUGAUGGAUAAAAAUGUCAGGACUAAAUUGAACUAGGCAAAGAUCCGCAGUUAGUUUAAUGUCCAUAUUUUUGGCAAAUAUUGAAAUUUAGUUUGCAACAUCGUAUUUCAUGCAAAUUUGUCAAUUUCAAGGUAAGUGAUUCUCAUGGAAGAGGAAGACAAACCAAAAUUUGGGCCGGCAGUGGCAGCAUAAACUGGCCAAUCUUGACAAGUUGAUAAAUGAUAGGAAUAUGACUGCCUGAUAUAUACCGUGAUGUUGCUCCUUUUAGACAUGUUGUUUCAUCAAUGUGACUUAAGUGCAUUUUAAAAGAGAAGUUAUUUUAAAAUAUAAAAUACUUCUAAAAAUACAAGAAUAUAUAUUUAUAUUUCAAGAACAUCCAGGAGAGCUGCAUGCAAAUUUGUAGCAGGAUAGAUCUUUCGUACAAGUUCAAAGAUCAUAGCCAGGAGGAACUGAC